CAUAGGUUAAUGAGGCGAACCGGGGGAACUGAAACAUCUAAGUACCCCGAGGAAAAGAAAUCAACCGAGAUUCCCCCAGUAGCGGCGAGCGAACGGGGAGCAGCCCAGAGCCUGAAUCAGUGUGUGUGUUAGUGGAAGCGUCUGGAAAGGCGCGCGAUACAGGGUGACAGCCCCGUACACAAAAAUGCACAUGCUGUGAGCUCGAUGAGUAGGGCGGGACACGUGGUAUCCUGUCUGAAUAUGGGGGGACCAUCCUCCAAGGCUAAAUACUCCUGACUGACCGAUAGUGAACCAGUACCGUGAGGGAAAGGCGAAAAGAACCCCGGCGAGGGGAGUGAAAAAGAACCUGAAACCGUGUACGUACAAGCAGUGGGAGCACGCUUAGGCGUGUGACUGCGUACCUUUUGUAUAAUGGGUCAGCGACUUAUAUUCUGUAGCAAGGUUAACCGAAUAGGGGAGCCGAAGGGAAACCGAGUCUUAACUGGGCGUUAAGUUGCAGGGUAUAGACCCGAAACCCGGUGAUCUAGCCAUGGGCAGGUUGAAGGUUGGGUAACACUAACUGGAGGACCGAACCGACUAAUGUUGAAAAAUUAGCGGAUGACUUGUGGCUGGGGGUGAAAGGCCAAUCAAACCGGGAGAUAGCUGGUUCUCCCCGAAAGCUAUUUAGGUAGCGCCUCGUGAAUUCAUCUCCGGGGGUAGAGCACUGUUUCGGCAAGGGGGUCAUCCCGACUUACCAACCCGAUGCAAACUGCGAAUACCGGAGAAUGUUAUCACGGGAGACACACGGCGGGUGCUAACGUCCGUCGUGAAGAGGGAAACAACCCAGACCGCCAGCUAAGGUCCCAAAGUCAUGGUUAAGUGGGAAACGAUGUGGGAAGGCCCAGACAGCCAGGAUGUUGGCUUAGAAGCAGCCAUCAUUUAAAGAAAGCGUAAUAGCUCACUGGUCGAGUCGGCCUGCGCGGAAGAUGUAACGGGGCUAAACCAUGCACCGAAGCUGCGGCAGCGACGCUUAUGCGUUGUUGGGUAGGGGAGCGUUCUGUAAGCCUGCGAAGGUGUGCUGUGAGGCAUGCUGGAGGUAUCAGAAGUGCGAAUGCUGACAUAAGUAACGAUAAAGCGGGUGAAAAGCCCGCUCGCCGGAAGACCAAGGGUUCCUGUCCAACGUUAAUCGGGGCAGGGUGAGUCGACCCCUAAGGCGAGGCCGAAAGGCGUAGUCGAUGGGAAACAGGUUAAUAUUCCUGUACUUGGUGUUACUGCGAAGGGGGGACGGAGAAGGCUAUGUUGGCCGGGCGACGGUUGUCCCGGUUUAAGCGUGUAGGCUGGUUUUCCAGGCAAAUCCGGAAAAUCAA
rnacentral:rRNA from 1 species